GGGCGUGUAGCUCAGUUGGUUAGAGCGCUACGUUGACAUCGUAGAGGUCCGUGGUUCAAAUCCACGCACGCCCACCA
rnacentral:tRNA from 1 species